AUGAUGAUGUCGGUCUUUUUACUGCUGGUGAUGCUGGGACUCUUUGCUCAGGAAUCAAUGGCAGAUAUAGUGCUGACUCAGGAUCCAGCAGCUCAGUCUAUUCAGCUGGGAGGCACUGUCUCUAUCAGCUGUACAGCCAGUCAGAGUGUUUACAGCAAUGACCGUCUCAGCUGGUACCAGCAGAAACCUGGUCAGGCUCCUAAACUUCUGAUUUAUUGGGCCACAAGUCGCCAGUCUGGGAUUCCUGAUCGUUUCAGUGGGACUGGAUCUGGGACUCAGUUCACACUGAAAAUCACUGGAGUCCAGGCUGAAGACGCAGGAGAUUAUUACUGUCAGAGUUUACAUCUGAUCAGUGGUAGCUGGGUGUUCACACAGUGUUAGAGAGCUGUACAAAAACCUCCUUCAAUCAGACUGCACAGGGACUGCACUGCUGCAGCUGGGACCUACUGCAGGUGCUGAGGGGGAGGCACUGAUCUGGGACAUAUUGCCAGUGUACCAGUAGGGGGCGACAAUGAGCUUCUGCCCUAAAUGUAUGCCUCUCUGUACUGAAGAGGAGCUACUCUGUGUCAUACACAGAAUCCAUAGCAGAGCUGCUGCUGAACCACACACACUACUGUACCUCAGCAUCACAGGAAACAUGUCGUAUUUCAGCUCACAAGGAGCAAUGAUCACCUGGAGUUCACCCUAAGCUGAGGAUGUGUACUUUCUCCUAGAGGAGGAAUGAGUGGGAUUUCAAAUGAACUGCUGUCUGAAGGGUAUUUUAAGUUGAAUACAUACAUCAGUGUUUAUGUAAUUAAAGGUGUUUUUGUUCAGAUGGUAUCCUGGUGACAGCUCAGCCACAAUGAACUGAAUCGCAGAAUUUAUUAUUUUCUGCAACAGUAUUUCUUUAAUUGGCACGAUCAUCUUUUGUUUUUAAGUUUCAAAUUUUCUCGUUAGUUAUUCAAUUUAAACGCAACUUUGCAUGAUACAGCAUGGAUAGACUUCCAUAACAAGCUCCCAUAUUAUUAAAUUUGAUCAUUUUAAACUCAACGGAUAUCAAUGCAUUCAUUUUGAAUUGAUAUCCCUUGAGCUUAAUGUAUUCAAUUGCACAGGCAUCCAUUAUAUUUCAGGCAUGGGGUCAGUACUGGGUUAGUAUUAUCAAAACCUGUUUGUGGUUGCUGAAUAAAUGCAUCAUUGUGUA